GUCGCACUAAAGAAAACUGCCGGCAGCGAGAGCAAAUCUGUCUCGCCUCACUAUCAAUGUGAGGGCGAACCAGUUCUGAAUAAUAAUAAGAAGAAAUGGCAUCACCGCCGCCGCCGCCACCACCACCACCUCCACAACCACCAUCACCACCCUCUGCCUCCAAUUCCCAGAACUCCGCGACUCCAAUAAUGCCCCCAAAGGUCCUCUCUCUUUCUCUAGAUCUGUGCUCUCGCGAUUUUGUGUCACUGAAAACUGGCCCCGUUGGGGUUUUUGCUAUGUUUAAGGUUGAAGAUGGUGCUGUCAAGACUGGUGUUCCCGAUGUCCCCCAGGAAAAGCCCGACGUAGCUCAUUUCCAGUGAGUUCUUUCUCUCUAUGGUGGAGGGAGUUUGAUUUCGUUUCUCCUUCCUUAGGCAUGUGAUUUGUUCAAGUCAAAUUCUAUAUCUGUUGGAGAUUAAUUUCCAUUUAUCUUCUUUCUUUUCCCCUGCAUGUAUAUUACAAAUUAUUUCGUUAUUCCUUUGUUGAUAGGGAAGAAAUUGUUAAACAAAUUGAAGCCUCUGAGUCGUGAUAGAUUGUUGAGAAAUUGUCGUGAGAGUGAAACUUUUGAAAAUGAUAUGACAAUUUUGUUUAAUGGUGAUAGUAAGCAUUUUCUUUCUUAUUUGUUAUUUAUUUAUUUCUUCUUUUCAUUGAAUUGUUCUAAGGAUGACCUCUGUUGAGUUGCCCAGAAGCAAGCAAUUCAAUAUCUCAAGGUUCUUAAAAUCUGUUGCUUUUUUUUUUGAGAAAAAAAAUUCUGUUUGAUGGCGUUCUGAAUAUCACAUGGAACAAUGUUAAGGGCCGCCUAAGGGGGGUGGGGUGGUGGUUGUUGUAGAGGAAAUCUCUGUGGCAGUUAUCAACUAUUUUAGUCUUGAAACAUACAUAGUUGAUUAGUAAUUAGUUUUGCCAGUUUCUAGUUUCUAUGGGGCAGUGUAAGAUAUUCUUACUGCAGUUUAUUUUCACCAUGGUUAGGAUACUUGACAGUGCAGAAAUCAUGGACAAAUACAGGAAAUAUGAAGCUGACUACACCCAUCGUUUGAUGGCAAAAUACUUCUCUAAGAAGAAUCUUUAUGGCGGUAAACAGUUUCCCAUAAUUUCUUUUGUGCUCUCUUAAUAUGACUUUCUAACUGGUUUACAUGGUCCAAUCUAUUUUGACUCUAUAUUGUUUCUAUGACUUUUUCAUUCUAGUUUCAUUGUUCUGGUUAAUUAGUUCAUUUAUUAUGGCGAUUGUCGUAAUUUUCCUCUAUGUUUUACACAGUUUAUGCUCAAUUAGCAUGCCUACAAUUCUUGAAUUUGAUUUGGAUAGAUUAUCCCUUCAUAGGUAACUAUGAGGUUCAUUGUAUUGUGAUAGUUUAAUGAAAUAUCAUUAUACACUAAUACUCUCAAGUCCUACUUAUAAUUAUUUGAUGGACAGUUGACCUUAUCAUUAUGAUAUUGUGAUUAUUGAAGUUAUCUGUUGUUUUAUUUUCUUUCAGGAGACGUAUUUGAUGAGAGAUUGAGAAUGGGUGAUGAGACUAUAAUGUCAAGCAGGUGGCCUUCUACUCAAUCAUUUGCUGACCCAGUGAAGGGCUUUGAGGAACAGGGCAACGUUGGUUCAACAUCAGAAGGCUGAUUAGCGUCUCCAAUGGGAAGCACCCGCCAAGGAGAACAUUAGCUUCCUUCUUCUCAAAUGCGGUAUUGUAUAUAGCUAGAUAUGAAUGAUGUAGACAAAGAUAUAAAAUGAACAAAAAUUUCAUCCUAAUUUCCCAUCCACGUGUUAGAAAUGGCAAUAUUGAUGCAUUUGUGUCUUCAAGCUUAGCAAUCGAGCCAUUGCAUCUGUUAUUCAAUAUUAAUACCUUUCUAGUUAUCAAAAAGAAAAGUCAUGUUCAUUAUUCAUUCUCUUAUUUCUACUGAUUUAUGAGUAACUUAUGUUGAUAAUUUUAC
rnacentral:misc_RNA from 1 species